GGGCUCCGAAGCUAACGCGAUAAGUCGACGCUGGGGAGUACGGCCGCAAGGUUAAACUCAAAUGAAUUGACGGGGCCCGCGCAAGCGGUGGAGCAUGUGGUUUAAUUCGAUGCAACGCGAAGAACCUUACCUGGUCUUGACAUCCAUAGAAUUCUGCAGAGAUGUGGGAGUGCUUUCGGGAACUAUGAGACAGGUGCUGCAUGGCUGUCGUCAGCUCGUGUUGUGAAAUGUUGGGUUAAGUCCCGCAACGAGCGCAACCCUUAUUCUUUGUUGCCAGCGAUUUGGUCGGGAACUCAAAGGAGACUGCCGUUGAUAAAGCGGAGGAAGGUGGGGACGACGUCAAGUCAUCAUGGCCCUUACGACCAGGGCUACGCACGUGCUACAAUGGCGUAUACAAAGGGAAGCGAAGGUGCGAGCUGGAGCGGAUCUCAUAAAGUACGUCUAAGUUCGGAUUGGAGUCUGCAACUCGACUCCAUGAAGUCGGAAUCGCUAGUAAUCGUAGAUCAGAAUGCUACGGUGAAUACGUUCCCGGGCCUUGUACACACCGCCCGUCACACCAUGGGAGUGGGUUGCACCAGAAGUAGAUAGCUUAACCGCGAGGGGGGCGUUUACCACGGUGUGAUUCAUGACUGGGGUGAAGUCGUAACAAGGUAACCA
rnacentral:rRNA from 1 species